rnacentral:tRNA from 1 species
GCAAUGGUGGUUCAGUAGUAGAAUUGGCGCCUUCCGUCCUGGAGACCCAGAUUCAAUUCCUGGCCAGUGCA